ACAACUGAGAUAGGCACUGGAUGAUGAUACAUGUAACAUCCUCAAACCCAUAGCUAGAGUAGUGCCAUAAUUAGGUAUGAGUUAGGCUAUUUCAUUACUAGAGACUACAACAAACUGGUCUAAAUAUGGAUGGAAGAUACGAUUCAUCAGAUCCAUGAAUGAUGCAGGUGCAUUUAUUAACCCGAAUGGCAUAACCAGAAACUCAUAAUGUCCAUAUCGUGUCCUGAAUGCAGUCUUAGGCACAUCUAUCCCUUUAACUCUUAACUGAUGGUAACCCGAUCUCAAAUCUAUUUUAGAGAAAAUGUUGGCCCCUUUCAACUGAUCAAACAAAUCAUCUAUUCUGGGCAGUGGAUAUUUAUUCUUGAUAGUUACUUUAUUCAACUGUCUGUAAUCAAUGCACAAUCGAAGAGAUCGCAGUUGACUAUAGCAGAUGAUGGAGCUAUCAUAGCAGAAUUGAAAGUUAAACCCAGCCUACUGCAACAAAUUAAAGAAGCACAAAAAGAAGAUACAGAGAUAACCUUAUGGGCUAGACAAACUCAUACCUAAUGAUGGCACUACUCUAGCUAUGGGUUUGAGGAUGUUACAAUACAACUCCCAUAAUUUAACAUUUGAAUGUUUUUAUAUUCAAUUGCUAGUUGAUUUUGCCAAACAAUGGAAAUAACAGUUAAAACCUUCUCAUACUAAUUACAGUCCAUUAGCACAACCUUUUAUAAUAUCACUUGCCAGAGUUAGUCUGUCCAAACUAGCCUCAUCGACAAUACCAAAUCUCAAAACAGUUUAUUCCAAACUAACAACACCGACGAGCACUGAAGAAAAGACAAAGAAUACAAUGAUUUACAGAACACAUCUUGCAUGCCAGAGAUGGAAUGUAAUGACCUAUACAUCAAAUGGCUAUUAGCGUUAGAAUUCAGAUCGACUUAAAAUCGUCGGAGCCCAUCGUAAGCCUACUAUACAUCAUAUUACACCUCAUGUAAUCUUAUACAUAAUCACACAAGUAUAUAAAAUAUUUCCAUUUCAUUAACAAAAACUUGACAUGUGCAUACAUCAUGACUAAAAAACAUAAAACUCAUGCUAGAGUCCUCAUCAAAUACUUUAGUAUGGUCAAUAUUACAUGCCUAAAGUUUGGUUCAAACAUAACUUAUAUUUUAAAAUUUUUACAUAAAAAGAUCAUAAAUAAAAGAUUAUAAAAGAAAAUUCAGGCAAAAUACAAUUCUAAUCCAUAAUAUGAAAUUACA
rnacentral:lncRNA from 1 species